CUACCGCUAUUGGAGUUCGAUUAAGCCAUGCGAGUCUAGAGGCCUAGCCUCGGCGUACCGCUCAGUAACACGUGGGUAACCUACCCUAUGCUGAGGAAUAAGCUCGGGAAACUGAGAAUAAUACCCCAUAGUCCACUACGCCUGGAACGGUGAGUGGAUCAAAGCUCCGGCGGCAUAGGAUGGGCCUGCGGCGUAUCAGGUUGUAGGGGGUGUAAUGUACCCUCUAGCCAUCCACGCGUACGGGUGUUGGGAGACAUUGCCCGGAGAUGGAUUCUGAGACACGAAUCCAGACCCUACGGGGUGCAGCAGGCGCGAAAACUUGGCAAUGCGAGAAAUCGUGACCAGGGAACUCCAAGUGGCAGGGGUAAGACCCUGUCUUUUUCCGACUCUAAAUAGGUCGGCGAAUAAGGGGUGGGUAAGGACGGUGCCAGCCGCCGCGGUAAUACCGGCGCCUCAAGUGGUAGUCGCUUUUAUUGGGCCUAAAACGUCCGUAGCCGGUCUGGUACAUUCGUGGGUAAAUCAACUCGCUCAACGAGUUGAAUUCUGCGAGGACGGCCAGACUUGGGACCGGGAGAGGUGUGGGGUACUCUCAAGGUAGGGGUAAAAUCCUGUCAUCCUGAGGAGGACCACCUGUUGCGAAGGCUCCACACUAGAACAGAUCCGACGGUCAGGGACUAAGCCUAGGGGCACGAACCGGGAUUAGAUACCCGGGUAGUCCUAGGUGUAAACGCUGUGGACUUGAUGUUUGGGGACGCUCCGAGCGUUCUCAGUGUCGAAGCGAAAGUGAUAAGUCCACUGCCUGGGG
rnacentral:rRNA from 1 species